rnacentral:rRNA from 1 species
AUGCAGAUGGAUAGCGGGCAGAUCUCGUCCCUGGGCAGGGAGAAUAAGGAUUUGCUGGACGCUCUGUAUCGUCACCGUGAGAUCCUAAGGCUCGAGACCAAUUUGCUGAGGGGAGAAAUCGCGUCCCGGAAUCUGGCGACCGUUGCUGGGAAGAAGGCCUAUCUGAAGAGUCAUUCCGACGGAAGAUCACUCUCCGGCGCACCAUCUCAGUUGGUCGAGCAGUCGUCCGUCCAUCAGAUUGCGGAUUUGCCACUGGUGAGUUUGCCCUAUCUUGUUCCUAAUCAGGGGGAGGCCCUCGAUCUGCUCUUGCACGAGACCCACAAAUUCGCCUACCGGCUCCGAUCUCUGAAGAAAGAAUUCGGUGUCACCAUCCCUCUGGAGAAGCUCAGAUUGCUGCUUCUCCUCUCGCAAGAAUGUUUCAGAAUCUCCAAAACCAUAGGGACGCAUGGAUCGCCAGUUUCUUGUGAAUCUUCUGAGGAUGCUGAAAUUUCUCUCUUCAAUGAGCGCCGUGUCUGCUGGGAAAAUACUUGGGGCAGUCCUGUGUUUAGGUGUGGCAGCUUCAACGACAUAACCACACUGUCUCCUAUGUACUUUACGCACUCUGCACCUCGUGUCAUCGAAUCCACUCGCUACAUCACCAAGGCCUUGCAGAUCUACUCCUUCAAAAUCUCUGACCUAAAUGGCUACUGGAAGUGGCCACUCUGUGUGUACGGCGUGGUCGCUGCUCGAGACGCUGUGGACUGUAACCGCAACCUUCUCUUCUCUCGCUCCAGGGCUAACUGCCAAGUAGUCACUGAAAAGGAUCCUUUUUUGCACUUGACUGGCCCUUCUCGUGCAAUUGUGGCUGACGAACCUGUUGACUUUGAAGUCGAGCUAAAGAUAAAAUGUGGAACAAAUCAGUCCCAAGAUAUAGCUUUGAUCAGUUCUACUUACCACUACACUUCUAGAGGUGAUGCUGCUUUUUUCACUGGCAGCUCUUGUUCGGCAACGUUGAGCCUUGAGACAGUUCCUAGAGCGGCCCAGGCCACUAUUGUAUCUAUUCGAGUGGUUGGAGGAGUGUCUCUUUUCGAAUUUGGAGGCCGGGUUGCUUGCUCGUUCUCUACUGAGGAGUAUGUUGAUCCCACAUGCGAGCAAGUUGUGCUGGUUGAGUCUGCUGAAAAGAUUCCUGAGGAUGAUGGUUACCUUACACUGUCAAGGAAGGUUGUUACGGCAGGACUACAAGGAGGAUUGCAAGUUGCCAUACAAGCCUAUGGGGGAUCUGACCGUCCAUCCGUAUCCGGUCUUCUUUACUUCCCUUCCCGGUAUUGCAGGGUAAGUCGGCGCACAUGCUUGGUCGGUGGCUUUGAGGUGGAGGUAACUGUUGCUUGGUCGUGGUUUGUACAGGACAAGAUGGAAAUCUUGUGA